rnacentral:rRNA from 1 species
UACGAAGGGUGCAAACGUUGCUCGGAAUUAUUGGGCGUAAAGCGCACGUAGGCGGCUUGGCAAGUCGGAUGUGAAAGCCCUCGGCUCAACCAAGGAAGUGCAUCCGAAACUGCUGAGCUUGAGUACUUAAGAGGAUCGCGGAAUUCCAGGUGUAGCGGUGAAAUGCGUAGAUAUCUGGAGGAAUACCGGUGGCGAAGGCGGCAUCCUGGACCGGCAUUGACGCUGAGGAGCGAAAGCCAGGGGAGCAAACGGG